rnacentral:misc_RNA from 1 species
AAUUCUCAACCUACACUUGGUUUCUAAUCGAGUUGCUAGGAUUGGACUUGGGAGCUGCUGGCGAGUUUUAUUACGAGUCAGCUCUUCUUAAAUGCAUUAGCGGUGACUUUAAUGACCGUUACUUGGUGUGAUAAUUAUCUACGCCUUGUGUAUGGGAGUUAUAAUAAUGGUCGCAGCUUCUAACUGUCUGUUCAAUCAGACUGUUUGCUUGCAAACACUUUUGAC